rnacentral:tRNA from 1 species
GACGCUAUCGGAGGUUCGAAUCCUUCCGUCCCAG